rnacentral:lncRNA from 1 species
CCAGAGACAACUGGACAAGUGGGCCUUGCGUGUACAGAUGGAACAACCAUGGCGGCCAGGUUGAGUGGCCCAAAAUGGAAGACUGUUGGCAACAGGUUACCCAUCGCAUAUUCCAUGAUAGCCAGCCUCUCGAGAUGAAUAUCAUGAAUCCCCAGAGACAACUGGACAAGUGGGCCUUGCGUGUACAGAUGGAACAACCAUGGCGGCCAGGUUGAGUGGCCCAAAAUGGAAGACUGUUGGCAACAGGUUACCCAUCGCAUAUUCCAUGAUAGCCAGCCUCUCGAGAUGAAUAUCAUGAAUCCCCAGAGACAACUGGACAAGUGGGCCUUGCGUGUACAGAUGGAACAACCAUGGCGGCCAGGUUGA